GAAGGACAGGUGGACAGGCAGGAAGAGAGAAUGCCGGUAUGAGUAGCGAAAAGAAGGGUGAGAAUCCCUUCCACCGAAAGCCUAAGGGUUCCUGGGCAACGAUCGUCGUCCCAGGGUAAGUCGGGACCUAAUCCGAGGCGGAGACGCGUAGGAGAUGGACAACAGGUUGAAAUUCCUGUACUGGCUGAGGCCGUUUGAGCGAAGGAGUGACACAGGAAGGAAGGCGCGCGUGCGAAUGGAAGAGCACGUCCAAGCAGGUAGGUCGGGAGACAGGCAAAUCCGUUUCCCAUAAGGCCGAGAUGCGAUGGGGAGCUUCUGGAGACAGAAGCGAAGGGGCUGGCACUAAACUGUCGAGAAAAGCUUCUAGUGAGGACUCAGGCACCCGUACCGAAACCGACACAGGUAGGCAGGAUGAGAAUUCUAAGGUGCGCGGGAAAACCCUCGUUAAGGAACUCGGCAAAAUAUAUCCGUAACUUCGGGAAAAGGAUAACCCAGCGUACGUGAAGUGCAGAAACGCAUGGAGCGGAGAUGGGUGGCAGAAGAGAGGCCCAAGCGACUGUUUACCACAAACACAGGCGUCUGCUAAAGCGAAAGCUGAUGUAUAGAUGCUGACACCUGCCCGGUGCUGGAAGGUUAAGAGGAAGUGUUAGCGCAAGCGAAGCAGUGAAUUGAAGCCCCAGUAAACGGCGGCCGUAACUAUAACGGUCCUAAGGUAGCGAAAUUCCUUGUCGGGUAAGUUCCGACCCGCACGAAAGGUGUAACGAUUUGGGCACUGUCUCAACGAGGGACCCGGUGAAAUUGAAGUACCUGUGAAGAUGCAGGUUACCCGCGACUGGACAGAAAGACCCCAUGGAGCUUUACUGUAACCUGAGAUUGGAUUCCGGUAAGAGAUGUACAGGAUAGUUGGGAGGCUGAGAAGUGAGUACGCCAGUAUUCACGGAGCCGCUGGUGGGAUACCAACCUUGUUUUAUUGGAAUUCUAACGAGAAGCGUAACGAGCUUGCGGACAGUCUCAGGCGGGCAGUUUGACUGGGGCGGUCGCCUCCGAAAGAGUAACGGAGGCGCCCAAAGGUUCCCUCAGCGCGGACGGAAACCGCGCGAAGAGUGCAAAGGCAGAAGGGAGCUUGACUGCGAGACGGACAGGUCGAGCAGGGACGAAAGUCGGGCUUAGUGAUCCGGUGGUAGAGAGUGGAAUUGCCAUCGCUCAACGGAUAAAAGCUACCCUGGGGAUAACAGGCUUAUCUCUCCCAAGAGUCCAUAUCGACGGGGAGGUUUGGCACCUCGAUGUCGGCUCAUCACAUCCUGGGGCUGAAGUAGGUCCCAAGGGUUGGGCUGUUCGCCCAUUAAAGUGGUACGCGAGCUGGGUUCAGAACGUCGUGAGACAGUUCGGUCCCUAUCCAUCGCGGGCGUAAGAAACUUGAAAGGGGCUGCUCCUAGUACGAGAGGACCGGAGUGGACCGACCAAUGGUGUACCAGUCAUGGCGCCAGCCGUGCAGCUGGGUAGCUACGUCGGGGACGGAUAAACGCUGAAAGCAUCUAAGCGUGAAACCAGCCUAGAGAUGAGGUUUCUCAUUACAUUAGUAAGUAAGGUCCCACAAAGACGAUGUGGUUGAUAGGCCGGGAGUGGAAGUACAGCGAUGUACGGAGCGGACCGGUACUAAUAGACCGAGGACUUGACUU
rnacentral:rRNA from 1 species